rnacentral:rRNA from 1 species
CGAACGGGGAGCAGCCCAGAGCCUGAAUCAGCAUGUGUGUUAGUGGAAGCGUCUGGAAAGGCGCGCGAUACAGGGUGACAGCCCCGUACACAAAAAUGCACAUACUGUGAGCUCGAUGAGUAGGGCGGGACACGUGGUAUCCUGUCUGAAUAUGGGGGGACCAUCCUCCAAGGCUAAAUACUCCUGACUGACCGAUAGUGAACCAGUACCGUGAGGGAAAGGCGAAAAGAACCCCGGCGAGGGGAGUGAAAAAGAACCUGAAACCGUGUACGUACAAGCAGUGGGAGCACGCUUAGGCGUGUGACUGCGUACCUUUUGUAUAAUGGGUCAGCGACUUAUAUUCUGUAGCAAGGUUAACCGAAUAGGGGAGCCGAAGGGAAACCGAGUCUUAACUGGGCGUUAAGUUGCAGGGUAUAGACCCGAAACCCGGUGAUCUAGCCAUGGGCAGGUUGAAGGUUGGGUAACACUAACUGGAGGACCGAACCGACUAAUGUUGAAAAAUUAGCGGAUGACUUGUGGCUGGGGGUGAAAGGCCAAUCAAACCGGGAGAUAGCUGGUUCUCCCCGAAAGCUAUUUAGGUAGCGCCUCGUGAAUUCAUCUCCGGGGGUAGAGCACUGUUUCGGCAAGGGGGUCAUCCCGACUUACCAACCCGAUGCAAACUGCGAAUACCGGAGAAUGUUAUCACGGGAGACACACGGCGGGUGCUAACGUCCGUCGUGAAGAGGGAAACAACCCAGACCGCCAGCUAAGGUCCCAAAGUCAUGGUUAAGUGGGAAACGAUGUGGGAAGGCCCAGACAGCCAGGAUGUUGGCUUAGAAGCAGCCAUCAUUUAAAGAAAGCGUAAUAGCUCACUGGUCGAGUCGGCCUGCGCGGAAGAUGUAACGGGGCUAAACCAUG